CUCUGAGAGGUGUUGCCUCAGUGUCACUGUGUCAAGAGACUCUUCAGGACGGGAGAUUAUCCACACACACCAACAGCUGCUCUGCGAAUAAGACAAUACUUACAAAACAAUCAAUUGUAGUUUACUUUAAGAGAAAGUUAGAAGUGUUUUAUUUCUUUUUUUGAUAUAAAGGAUAUUUUUUGAUAUAGGAGUGGGAGUCGACCCUGUUGAAGUGGUGAAAGCAGUCACCCGACAGCCAGCCAGACAUGGGCUGCUGCUUCAGCGGGUCUGAGGGGGAAGGAGAGGGGGACACUAAGCACGGGGGGGACAGCGGCUGUAAGACGUGCUGUCUGAAGACCAGGAACUGCGUGAUGAGUGGAGAGUGUGGGCGCGCUCUUCAGAUUGCCAACGUCUGUGCCAUGUGUGGAAUGUGCAUCCGCAUGUUUGUCUAGCUGUGACUCCAUGAGGUCAGACCUGCUCUCAUUCCCAUGGCGACUGUACAGAGAGCUGGGACCAAUAGGACCGGUAUGCCUCUCCCAUGGGUGGAUCACCUGGGA